UAAGACUGCCUUCUGUAAAGCAAUUGAGAAAGAAAAAAGAGACUCAAUAUUUUCGCAUAACAACCCUUAAAAUGCUAAGCAAUACUGGCAUUAAAACUGGCAGUACAAUUCAAGAUUGUCCUGGAGACAGAGGACAUUAAGGAAAUUGGUGCUGACCACCAUCUGGGAGCUCAGGUGGAGCUGAAAGGCACAGCCCCUGGUACUCCUCCAUGUGGACCUAUCUACCUGGCUACUCGGGCUUCGUCAGAACAUGGCCACUGGAUUCCAAACAGGAGGAAAUAGGAAGCCCCCAGUCCACUUAUGGCUUGGACCCAGAAGACCUAGAAUGCCACGUAUGCCACAUUUUAUUUAUCAGAGCAGUCAGAUGGCCAGUGCAGAAUUACAGGAAGAAGAAUUACACUCUACUUUUGGAUGGAGGGUGGCAUGUAUGUAUGGAGACCAAAGGAACUGAUGUCAGCCAUCACUGGAGACCAUCACAGACUUAAUUUCAUUCCAUUUCUGACCAGGUUAAGCAAAACACGCUUUCAGAGUCUCUCUACACUGUAAUAGUUCUGUAAAUUCCAAAUCAACACAACAAACCUACUCUUAGUGUAAUGUGUUUUAUCUAAGAUUUUUCUUCAUUUAGUCAUUAAAACUAAAAAGCACUGUA